rnacentral:rRNA from 1 species
AGAACGAACGCUGGCGGCAGGCUUAACACAUGCAAGUCGAACGCGUGUAGCAAUACACGAGUGGCGCACGGGUGAGUAACGCGUGGAUAUCUGCCUUUUGGUUCGGAAUAACCCCUGGAAACUGGGGCUAAUACCGGAUGGUUCCUACGGGAUAAAGAUUUAUCGCCAAAAGAUGAGUCCGCGUCCGAUUAGCUAGUUGGUGGGGUAAUGGCCUACCAAGGCGACGAUCGGUAGCUGGUCUGAGAGGACGAUCAGCCACACUGGGACUGAGACACGGCCCAGACUCCUACGGGAGGCAGCAGUGGGGAAUAUUGGACAAUGGGGGCAACCCUGAUCCAGCCAUGCCGCGUGAGUGAUGAAGGCCUUCGGGUUGUAAAGCUCUUUUGGCGGGACGAUGAUGACGGUACCCGCAGAAUAAGCCCGGCUAACUUCGCGCCAGCAGCCGC